rnacentral:rRNA from 1 species
GUGGGGAAUAUUGGACAAUGGGCGAAAGCCUGAUCCAGCCAUGCCGCGUGUGUGAAGAAGGUCUUCGGAUUGUAAAGCACUUUAAGUUGGGAGGAAGGGCAGUAAGUUAAUACCUUGCUGUUUUGACGUUACCGACAGAAUAAGCACCGGCUAACUUCGUGCCAGCAGCCGCGGUAAUACGAAGGGUGCAAGCGUUAAUCGGAAUUACUGGGCGUAAAGCGCGCGUAGGUGGUUUUGUAAGUUGGAGGUGAAAUCCCCGGGCUCAACCUGGGAGCUGCCACCAAAACUGCAUGACUAGAGGACGGUAGAGGGUAGUGGAAUUUCCUGUGUAGCGGUGAAAUGCGUAGAUAUAGGAAGGAACACCAGUGGCGAAGGCGACUACCUGGACUGAUACUGACACUGAGGUGCGAAAGCGUGGGGAGCAAACAGGAUUAGAAACCCGUGUAGUCC